rnacentral:rRNA from 1 species
AAUCAACGCUGGCGGCGUGCCUCAGACAUGCAAGUCGAACGAUUAAACUUUCCUUCGGGAAAGAUAUAAAGUGGCGCACGGGUGAGUAACACGUAAGUAAUCUACCUUCGAGUGGGGAAUAACGUCGGGAAACCGACGCUAAUACCGCAUAAUGCAGCGGCACCUAAUGGUGACAGUUGUUAAAGGAGCAAUUCGCUUGAAGAGGAGCUUGCGGCAGAUUAGCUAGUUGGAAGGUAACGGCUUACCAAGGCUACGAUCUGUAACCGGUCUAAGAGGACGGUCGGUCACACUGACACUGAAUAACGGGUCAGACUCCUACGGGAGGCAGCAGUCGGGAAUUUUGGGCAAUGGGCGAAAGCCUGACCCAGCAACGCCGCGUGAAGGAUGAAGUAUUUCGGUAUGUAAACUUCGAAGAAUGGGAAGAAUCAAUGACGGUACCAUUUAUAAGGUCCGGCUAACUACGUGCCAGCAGCCGCCGUAAU